GGAGGGAGGUUUUCGCCCAUCCUGCGCAGCCUUCACCAGCAAUGCUCGUGUCCCCACUCAGGGGACAGCGUGGGGCUGGCACAGCCAGCGUGCUGGAGCAGUACCCGGGCUUCUGCUCCAGGUCCAUCCAGGGGGUUGCCUCCUGUGCCUUCUGGUCUCCUGGGGUGACUCCUGCAUGGACAGCCUGUGCUGAGGGGUGGAGGGGCUCUGUGGCACCAAGGAAGGUGUGUCCCCCCCCCCGGGUUACUGCCCGGUGCACAUGCUGGGAUGUGCCACAGGGACCUUUGCUGCCGGCUGGACAUCAGUGCCUCUGCAGCCGAGACUGUCCCUCUCUCCAUCAGCCGGGGGAACGGGGGUACCUGGGGAGGGGAGGGCACCAUUGGCUGCAGUUGCUGUCAGAUGCCUUUGUUUUUCCUGCGCAGGGUGGUGCCAACCCAGAGGGUCGGGAGCCAGUCCUUCACAGGGGAUGCAGGGCAGGACUUGUCAGUGGAGCAGGAUCGGGAUCAGGCCCUCAGCAGCCAUCCCCGGGGAGGGCUGAGCGCUGCCGACAGCCCUGGUGCCAAGCUGGAGAGUGUGGGGGGAGUGAGGGGGGACCGGCGGUCUCAGCAGCUCUGCAGGGUCCUCUCUGGGGGAUCUCCACGCACACCGUUGGCAGCCAGCAGGGAGGGAGCGGCUCCUCUUUCCUGGCAGUGCUGGCUGCUCUCUCCUGUCUUUUCUUCUGCCCUGGGGUGGCGUGGGUGGCCCUGGUGGCACCCUGUGGCAGGGAACCAGUGCGAAAGCGGUACAGGCGGGUCGUGAUGGCAGCACCGACCCGCUGGUACCCUUGGCAGUUCUGGGUGCUGGUGGGGACCAGCUCUCCUGGAUGCAGUCUGGUGGGGCGAGCUGCUGGUGGGAUGCUGCUGCUGACACGGCUUGGGACCAGGGUCCGUCGGAGCUGCCAGGGGCAUGCCCUCGGCUGGGGUGAGGGGUUCCAGGGUCCCGGGGCUGUGAUGGCCAUGUCCAGAGCUGGUUCCCUUCCUGCCGUGUCUCAUGACACGCUGCUGCUGCCGGGGUGCAGGGAGGGAGCAGACGAUGGGAGUGCGAGGCUCAACCAGCAAUUAGUCCUCCGAGUGUCUUGACUCACCGAACUGUAAUAAACCAUGAAUUAUGACUGGGAGCUUUGUGAAG
rnacentral:lncRNA from 1 species